UACAGAGGGGGGCAAGCGUUGUUCGGAAUUACUGGGCGUAAAGCGCACGUAGGCGGCUUGUUAAGUCAGGGGUGAAAUCCUGGAGCUCAACUCCAGAACUGCCUUUGAUACUGGCGAGCUUGAGUUCGGGAGAGGUGAGUGGAACUGCGAGUGUAGAGGUGAAAUUCGUAGAUAUUCGCAAGAACACCAGUGGCGAAGGCGGCUCACUGGCCCGAUACUGACGCUGAGGUGCGAAAGCGUGGGGGAGCAAACAGG
rnacentral:rRNA from 1 species